rnacentral:rRNA from 1 species
UACGUAGGUGGCGAGCGUUGUCCGGAAUUACUGGGCGUAAAGGGAGCGUAGGCGGUUUUUUAAGUGGGAUGUGAAAUCCCCGGGCUCAACCUGGGAAUUGCAUUCCAAACUGGGAGACUAGAGUGCAGGAGAGGAAAGUGGAAUUCCAAGUGUAGCGGUGAAAUGCGUAGAGAUUUGGAGGAACACCAGUGGCGAAGGCGACUUUCUGGACUGUAACUGACGCUGAGGCUCGAGAGCGUGGGGAGCAAACAGG